AGUUUAGUCGCAUAUCUUGCAAAAGCCUGCAAACUGAAUUCUUUCAAGAACUGGACCGAUUCAUUCAACGGUUCAUUAAUAUCUUCAAAGCCAAAGGAGGAGACAUUGGAUGUAAGCUUAAGAAGAUUCUGCAAAAGAUUGAAAAUGAGAAAUCUGAAAUCGUUGGGAGGUGAACAGCCAUUCUUCAUGGCCUUCCACUCCUCCUUAAAGAAGACCCGACCGAUUUUUACAAGACAUGUUUUGAUUGUGAUGAUGAAGGAGAGAUGUCCAGCAUUUCAAUCGGCAUAUUGUCUGUGAUACCCGAGGACUCUGAAACCAAACCUUACUCUCUGCAUCUCGAUGCCUUAUCCACUGCAAUCAUUUUGGAAGAUAGAGUUGUAAUGGAUGAUCUGAGAAACCUUCCCAAAGCAAUGUGCCUGUUUUUCGGGCUCAUUUAUGCUCUGGAUUUAAAAUAUCCUGCUGUACUGAAGAACAUGUUUGAUUUCAUUCAAAGGGUGAUUCUGUCACUCGGGCACAAGUCUCUCAAACCUAAAGUACAAUCCCUGAAAAAUAGCCUGUCACUGUAACAUUGUGCCAUGAUGGACCAUUUUUCAUCUGCUCAAUGUUAAGUAGCUGGCCUUAGAAUAUAGUUUAGUCUUUAAA